CGUGGUUAGGUAACGUACGUGAGACAGUUCGGUCCCUAUCUGCCGUGGGCGCUGGAGAACUGAGGGGGGCUGCUCCUAGUACGAGAGGACCGGAGUGGACGCAUCACUGGUGUUCGGGUUGUCAUGCCAAUGGCACUGCCCGGUAGCUAAAUGCGGAAGAGAUAAGUGCUGAAAGCAUCUAAGCACGAAACUUGCCCCGAGAUGAGUUCUCCCUGAGACUUAGAGUCUCCUGAAGGAACGUUGAAGACGACGACGUUGAUAGGCCGGGUGUGUAAGCGCAGCGAUGCGUUGAGCUAACCGGUACUAAUGAACCGUGAGGCUUAACCUUAC
rnacentral:rRNA from 1 species